rnacentral:rRNA from 1 species
UCAAACGAGAAAGGCUUACGGUGGAUACCUAAGGCACCCAAGACGAGAAGGGCGUAAGUAAGCGACGAAAUGCUUCAGGAGUUGAAAAUAAGCGGCGAUCCGGAGAUUCCCAGAAUAAGUUAACACGAACUGCUGCUGAAUCCAUGGGCAGGCAAAAAGACAACCUGGCACUGAAACAUCUUAGUAGCAAGGAAAAGCAAAGCGAUUCCCGUAGUAGCGGCGGGCGAAAUGGGAGCAACCUAAGCCGUGAAAACGGGGUUGUGGAAGCAAAAGCGUCGUGCUGCUAGGCGAAGCGGUGGGUGCCACACCUGAUGGCGAAGUCCAGUGGCCAGAAAGCAUCAUGCUCUGACCGAGUAGCAUGGGGCACGGCGUGGAAUCCGUGUGAUCGCAGGGACCACCUUGCAGGCUAAAUACUCCUGGGUGACCGAUGGCGAAAAUGGUACCGUGAAGGGUGAAAAGAACCCCAGGGUGAAAUAGAACGCAACCGUAAGCUCCCAAGCAGUGGGACGCCUGAAUGCGACGCGUGCCUGUUGAAAAAUAGGCCGGCGACUCAACGGUGUGCUUGGUUGGGAACCCACCGGAGCCGUGAAAGCGAGUCUUCAUGAGCAAUUGUCACUGCUUAUGGACCCGAACCUGGGUGAUCUAUCUAUGACCAGGAUGACCGGUGAAACUAAGUGGGGUCGAACCGACGGUUGAAAAUCAGCGGAUGAGUUGUGGUUGGGCAAAUGCCCUCGAACAGAGCUGGCUGGUUUCCCGAAAUGCGGUGAGCGCAGCAGUUGACUGGACAUCAGGGGUAAAGCACUGUUUCGGUGCGGGCCGCGAAACAGUACAAAUCGAGCAAACUCUGAAUACUGAAUGACCUCAAAUAACUUGAGAUUAAGGUCUGGCCAGUGGACGGUGGGGAUCGCUUCAUCGUCGGAAACGACCCGGAUCACCAGCUAAGGCCCUAAAUGACCGCUCAGUGAUAAAGUAGGGAAUUUAGAAGACAGCAGGAGGUUUGCUAAACGACCACCCUUGAAAGUGCGUAAUAGCUCUCACUGAUCGAGCGCUCUUGCGCCGAUGAUGAACGGGGCUAAGCAAUCUGCCGAAGCGCUGUGGGAUGUCAAAAUGCAUCGGUAGGAGCGUUCCGCUAGGGAAACAACCGCGCGAGCGGCAGUGGACAAGCAGAGCAGAAUGUCGGCAAUGCCGCAAACAUUGGUGAGAAUCAAUGCCCGAAAACCCAAGGUUCCUCGCAAGGUUCGUCCACGGAAGGUGAGUCAGGGCUAAGAUCAGGCCGAAGGCGUAGUCGAUGGACAACAGACGAAUAUUCCUGUACUACCCUUGUUGGUCCCGAGGACGGAAAGAGCUGGGUUAGCCGAAGAUGUAUCGGUUCAGGACGCAAGGUGUCCCUGUUUUCAGGAUUGAGAAAGGGUGAAAAUGCCCAGGCCAAUGUUCAGUACCAGGCGCUACGGCGCUGGAGUAACCCUGCUAUACUCCCAGGAAAAGCUCGAACGACCUUCAACAAAGGGUACCUGUACCGAAACCGACACCAGGUGGGUGGUGAGAAUACCUAGGGCGCGAGACAACUCUCUAAGAACUCGGCAAAAUAGCCCCGUAACUUCGGGAAGGGUGCCUCCUCACAAGGGGUCGCAGUGACCAGGCCCGCGACUGUUGCCAAAACACAGGUCUCCUGAGUCGGUAAGACCAUGUAUGGGGCUGACGCCUGCCCAGUGCCAGGUUAAAGUUGGUGACCUGAUGACGGGGCCGGCGGCCAAGCCCCGGUGAACGGCAGCCGUAACUAUAACGGUCUAAGGUAGAAAUUCCUUGUCGGGUAAGUUCCGACCCGCACGAAAGGCGUAACGAUCUGGGCACUGUCUCGGAGAGGCUCGGUGAAAUAGACAUGUCUGUGAUGCGGACUACCUGCACCUGGACGAAAGACCUAUGGCUUCACUGUUCCUGGGAUUGGCUUUGGGCUUUUCCUGCGCAGCUUAGGUGGAAGGCGAAGGCCCCUUCAGGGGCCGAACCCAUCAGUGAGAUACCACUCUGGAAAGCUAAAUUCUAACCUUGUGUCAGGACCUACGGCCAAGGACAGUCUCAGGUGGACAGUUUCUAUGGGGCGUAGGCCUCCCAAAAGGUAACAGGCGUGCAAAAGGUUUCCUCGGGCGGACGGAGAUUGGCCCUCAGUGCAAGACGAAGAAGGGCUUGACUGCAAGACCCACCGUCGAGCAGGGACGAAAGUCGGCCUUAGUGAUCCGACGGUGCCAGUGGAAGGCCGUCGCUCAACGGAUAAAGUUACUCUGGGAUAACAGGCUGAUCUUCCCAAAGCUCACAUCGACAGGAAGGUUUGGCACCUCGAUGUCGGCUCUUCGCCACCUGGGGUAUGUAGUAUGUUCAAGGUUGGGCUGUUCGCCCAUUAAAGCGUACGUGAGCUGGGUUCAGAACGUCGUGAGACAGUUCGGUCCAUAUCCGGUGUGGGCGUUAGAGCAUUGAAGGGACCUUCCCUAGUACGGAGGACGGGAAGGACGCACCUCUGGUGUACCAGUUAUCGUGCCCACAGUAAACGCUGGGUAGCCAAGUGCGGGCAGAUAACUGCUGAAAGCAUCACAAGUAAUAAGCCCACCCCAAGAUGAGUGCUCUCUAUUCCGACUUCCCAGAGCCUCCGGUACUUUAGCCAGGAACAGGUUUCUCCGCCCUGCGUAAUGGGUGACAAGUUUGAAAUUCAAGAAGGUCACGUGAGACGAGGCGUUUAUCAUUACGAUGGGUGUCAAGUGGAGGUGCGGUGAUGUAUGCGGCUGGGCAUCUAACAGACCGGUGAACUUGAACCU